UCCAGCCCGUCAUCGAGCGGCUCCUGGAUCGAGGCCUCCUUAUUCCACAAACUCUCCCUGCGACACUCCGACACUCGGGUCCUACCUGUCCGCACACCGUCAGGAGCACGCGGCUUAGUGCAGGAUCUCCAUUGAGUCCACGAAGUGGUUCCUCCCUUCAUCCAGGGGUCCCAGCCCUUACACCCCCCUCUCCCUCUUACCUCCCCGGCAGGCUGACUUCACUCAACAGGGCCACUCCACAAGCUCGACAUGGUCCUCCUCACACCUCAAGGGGGCCUGCGACCCAAGGUCCCCCCUCAUCAGGUGCGAGGACACCAACCAGGUGAGGAUUGGCAGGCAGAUCUCACUCACACGCCCAGACACGGAAAGUUCUGACACCUACUACCCUGGCUGACACCUUCUCAGGAUGGACUGGGCCUUCCCGACCUCCCGAGGGACCCGGACACUGUGGCCUCAGUCCUCAUUGAGCAGAUCACCCCAGGUCCGGCCUCCCGACGUCCAUCCAGUCACACAGUGACUGCCUUCACUCCUCAGACAGUCCAGAGGCCUCAGACAGCCUAACAGCUCCUGGGACUCCACGUUCCUUACAGGACACAGUCCCCGGCCUCCUCCGGGAACUUAUGGACCAUCACCUUCUGAGGGUCCACUCCAACCAGGAGACUCUGUCCUCUUAAAGGAACUCCCUCCUCGGUCACUCCAACCGUGCUGGACGGGACCCCAUACGGUGCCCCGACCUGAACGGUGCUGCCUCAUCCCUACCUGGCGUUUCCAGGCACAGGGGACCUAGAUGGUGAGACCUGGACAUCAGGACCAGCGAUUGCCAACCUGAAAGAAAUCCUCAGAAAGAAACUGCCCUCACUCACCGACUAGGGGCCCCCGAGGCAGAGAAGGGGACCCGUUUUCAUGGCUGCGUCAGGGGCUACAACUCCUAGGGUCAGUGGUAUUUCUGAUUGCUUUCUGUGUGCUGCUCUGGAUCAUCCCCCUUAAUGGCAGUCCCUCUGACCUUUCCCCUUAACAAUUCCCACGGGGGUGUCACCUCUCUGCCUCUGUCGGGGAUCCCCCUCUCUGACAGUCCCCUGCAGCAGCGGCAAAACCUUUCCACCUGCUGAGCCUCCCAAGCUGCCCCCAGGUGCAGCGUGACCACUGCGGGGUCCUCCCCAGUCCGUGCACCCCGGGAUUCUUCCUUUGGUGGGACGGGGUGCUGAGAAAGCCAUCCACUCCUCUACUGCUGCUCCUUCCUGCACCCUGUCACCUGGAUCCUCCACUGACACUCUGGGCAGGCGGAGUUCCUCUCCCUGAGCCUCCACCCACCAGAUCUGGACGGGCUGCCUUUCUUCCAGGCAUUUCCCUUACCUCGUCCCUGGUGGCCUGGGGCAUCGGAGCCGGGCAUUGGGCCAUAGCUUAACCACAACUAAAGAGCUUGAAACAUCACAGCUGGCAUGGAAGCCUCUGCCCGCUCCCUGGCAUCUCUCCAAAGACAAAGAACGUGGCUUGUGCUGGUCACUUUCCAAAACAGGCGGCGGGCCCUAGACCUACUCAGCGCUGACAGAGGAGGAACCUGUCUGUUCUCGGGGACGAAGGUUGCCAUUACUCGACGGAGCGGCCUAGUAGAGGGAAACAGGGACACGCUGCAUCGGCUGAGUGAAGAACCGAAUCUCAGGGUCCACCUCGCUCCUCCCAGGCUGGUGGAGCUCUGCCCUGGCCGCCACUUGGUUUGGUCCCAUUGUGGGCUGCCCCCCUGAUCUGUGUCUUGCUAAUUUCUGCUCCUUGUCCCCUCAGAUUUAUCCGAAACCGCAUCAGCGAAGUCUCCCACGUGGCGGUGAAUCAGCUGCUCCUCCAGCCCCUCCCACCGG